UGCUCCAAAUCAAAUAGCCUCACAAGAGAUGAUAACAUUAUUGAGACAAAGCAAAGAAAUAAGUGUUAAAAGAAAAAGUGAACUCUAUCCUGUCUAGUUCAAAGUGAACACCUUAUAGAUCCCAAGAGGCAUGCGUUUCUUAUUAAAAGUAAAAACCGUGAGGCUAACCAAUAAUUGCUCUGCGUAGGCAAGAGAAUCCUCAAUGAGACGUACAACCCUAAUUCAAAUAGAAACAUCAUCAACACACAACUGAAACAAAGAAGGAACCAAACCAUGAAAAACUCAGUUGAAAG
rnacentral:misc_RNA from 1 species